rnacentral:rRNA from 1 species
AUGAAGAACUUGAGAGAUCCAAAAACCAAGAUCUAUCCCUCAACUACAAGGGAAGGUAAGGAACUGCCAUCUAGCUCUGCACUUGAUUCACCUUCUGUUUUGAGUAAGCUUGCGACACCUACACCUGCUUCUGCUAUUCGUUCUGAUAUGUCGCAUGUUAUUGAUGAUGUCACUUCUGCUAUGCAUGAUACUUAUGAUGAAACUACCUCUAUGCCUGAUACUACUGUGCCACUUAGUGGUUUUCUUGAUGAACAACUUCCUAGGGCUAGAGAGAUUGAAAAUAUUGAAUCUGAUGAUACUGAUGAAAGUGAUGAUGAAGAAUCAUUUGUAAUUCCUAAGGGUUAUGUUUUUGAUCAAGAAGCUUCUUUCGCUAUUUUAGCUUGCAAAAAUAUAAAUGAACUCAAAAGGUUAUUAGCUAAAUGGAAUAAGCAAUCUCUAAAUGCUAGAAUGGAACCUGACCCUACUUUUGCUACUUCACCUAUGUGUGUUACUGAUAAGGAUUAUGAAUUCUCUAUUGAUCCUGAUAUAAUUACUUUGGUUGAAUCUGAUCCUUUUCAUGGUUAUGAAUCUGAAACUGUUGUGGCACAUCUUACUAAGUUGAAUGAUAUAGCCACCCUAUUCACUAAAGAUGAGAGAACUCAUUACUUCUACAUCCUUAAAAUAUUUCCGUUCUCAUUAAAGGGUGAUGCUAAGAUAUGGUUUAAUUCUCUUGAUCCUGGUUGUGUGCGUAGUCCCCAGGCUAUGAUUUAUUACUUCUCUGCUAAAUAUUUCCCUGCUCAUAAGAAACAAGCUACUUUAAGGGAUAUAUAUAAUUUUGUGCAAAUUGAAGAAGAGAGUCUCCCACAAGCUUGGGGGAGGCUU